rnacentral:tRNA from 1 species
GCCUUCGUAGUGUAGUGGUCAGCACACUCGGCACGUAUCUGCUAGGUCCGAAGUUCGAGUCCCGGCGAGGGCA